rnacentral:tRNA from 1 species
GGCGGUGUAGCUCAGUUGGUUAGAGCAGCGGAUUCAUAAGCCGCAUGUCGGGGGUUCGAAUCCCUCCACCGCUACCA